GUAUGUGACCUUGUUCAGUAGUGUCCUUUGAUCCUUCCCAAUGCUGCAUGCUCAGUUGAAGACGGUGCCCAUCCAAACAGAGGAGGCAGGGAUAGUGUUCUGUCAAGGGCGUAUGAGUAGCUGUGUUUCCCUGCUGAAGUCUCCAAAUCAACUCUCAAUGUCUAUUUGUAGGAGAACACAGGGGUAGCCAGGUUUCCUUUUCUUUAUUCAAUGUAUUUUAAAAUUAAAAAGCAAUAUUGUUGAAA
ensembl:misc_RNA 7SK 7SK RNA